AGAAAGAAUCUUAAGCAGAGUAGACAAUGGGCAGGGAGCUACUCAAAACAGGAAAAUACAAUUGAUUGCUCACUGGUAAGAAAAUACGUGGUGUGGCAGAAUAACCCUUAUUGACUAAUUCCAUCGAUUAUUGUCUGUCAUUCUAAUUCAUUGACUGAGAAGUGUAGUUUAGCACUCAGAACUUGAGGGCAAAUACUCUAGUUGAUCUAAAUGAAUGCCACUUAGGGAAAAUCCUUCUGAAAUAAAUAGGAUUAUAAUUAGCAUGGCAUGGUAGCGUUAAAUAGGAUAUGCGUGCAAUGAGCAAACUUUCCAAACGUAUAGGGCUUCCUUUUGCUGAUUUUUGGCAUUCUUUCAGAGAUUUUUUUUAAACUUCCUAGAGUCCCUUUUUUCCACCCCUUACAACACCUCUUCACCAGAGCUUAAAACAAAACCAAACUCCUUUUCCUUUUAUCCCAGCUUGCCACUGGUAUGGCUUGCCUCUGCUAGAGUGCCUCCGAUUUAAAAUGACCUUUCUGCUCUAGUGUAUUCAUCACAAAAUCCAUUCGUUUAGGUGGACUGGAAGGAAAGCAAGUGACUUAACUUAGUGAUAUUCAAGUAUGAAUGGUUGAGUGAGGCAAACUGAAAUACUAGCAUAUGAAAAACCAUGGCCCCUUUAUCUAAAUGAAUAUUUUAAGCUAUUUCCUACAAACAUUACUUGAACCUUAAGAGUAUGCAGAAAAAAACAAUGUAGUCAAAGAGAGAGGCUAUAGGCUCUUACCUGGGGACCUUGAUGCUGCCUCCUCACUCUCUUACGGCCCAUGGCAAGCAAGGACAAGCAGAACAUAGUGUGCUUGCUUUCCAUCGAGACAAGGUGUUCAAAGAAAGUGCUCACAGCGCUCCAGGAGUCACUACCAUUUAGUUCAAGUCAGCUGUCUUUUUGUAAAACUUGCAUUCUGUCUUUCAUUUAACACCUUAGACCUUUAGCACCUUAUAGAAGCAGUUAUUGAUAGAUGUGCACUAAAACUCUUGUACUUUGAGGAAAAUCUUUAGUUGUUGAACCAUUCAGUGUCUAAAAAACUUGGAUUGCUCUACAAAAAAUAUAUCCUAAAGAAAUUAAGAACAUGAUGAUUUUACAUUAUUAGCAUACAAAUUUGGUUGUGUUUUUGUUUGUUUUGGGGUGUGUGUGUGUGUGUGUGUGUGUUUUAAGAUAGGGUUUCCUGUAUCCCAGGCUGGCUUUAAAUUUCCUUGAACAUCUGACCCUCCUGCCCCUAACUCCAGAAAUACUGGAAUUCCAGGUGUGUGCUCCAAUACCUAGUUUAUGCCUGGCUAAUUUUCAACCCCAGGGCUUCAUGUAUGCUAAGCAAGCACUCCACCAACUGAGUUGCACAGAAAUUGUUUUGUUUUCCAAAAGGAUUCAUCUGGUACUGGAUCAUAAAGAUGGUUGCUAAUUGAGUUUGACUGUGUUCAUGAUUUUGCCUUGGACCCUCUUCUUAGCUUUCUUCCUUCAAGGUUUUAUCAGAAAGUUUAGCAACUUCCUUUUUUUUUUUUUUUAACCUAAGUUAUCCACUAGUUCAGUGGCUCUCAACCUGUGGUCACAACUCCUUUGGGGGUUGAACAGGUCUUUCACAGAGGUUGAAUAUCAGAUAUACUGCAUAUCAGAUAUCUGAUUAUGACUCAUACUAGUAGCAAAAUUAAAGUUAAGAAGUAGCAGUGAAAACAGGUUUAUGUUUGGGGGUUACCACAACCUGAGGAACUGUAUUAAAGAGUUGCAGCAUUAGGAAGGUUGCGACCUACUGUACUGGUUGUUCACUUACACUCCAUCCUCCAUUAAAUUGCUUUGUUAUACUGCCACUAAAAUCCCAUCACUUACAUAUUCAAACUGUCUAGACCUCAGCAGCAGUUAUUUAAUGUUCCCUCUAAGCCUCAAGCCCUUUAUCUGUAGUGUAGAUAAUAGUGCCUAAACAUGAGUUGUGUUAAGAAUUAUCUGAGAUAAUUUCAUAUAAAUGGUGGUGGGUAGGAUAUAGUACUAUAUUAAAUAUUAUUACUAUAGCUAUAUCUGCAAGAGAACUGCUUCAACAAGUGGGAGAAUUGAAAUAAAGCAAUCCCAUAUUUACUUAACAAAGAAAACUAGUAAACCAAUCAAAAUCAAGAGGAGGGGAUUAUAUAAAUUCUUUUUUUCUUCAAUGUCAGUGAAAUAAAGUGGGUGAUAGGGAGGGGGUCAGAUGUACAACACUAGGAAAGCAAAAUGGGCCAUAUCUACAGACCCAAGUGAGAUUGGGAGCUAUUUCAGAAUAAUUACAUGAGUAAGGAGACGUGAACAUAUAAAGCAAGGUCCUGAGGUGAAAAUUGUUAAAGCUGGCCUGGAGAGGUAGCUCAGUUAGUAGAACAUUUGCCUAGGAUACAGGAAGCUCUAGGUUCCAUCAUACCACAUAAACCCCAUUGUGAUAGUACAGACCUGCAAUCCCAGGACUCUAAAGGUGAAGGAAAGAGGAUGAGAAGUUCAAGGCUGUCAUCAUCUACAUCAUGAACUUGAGGCCAUCUUGGCUACAGGAGACCCUGUGUUCAAAAAGAAAACCAAACCAAACCAAACAAAAACCAGGAAAAAUGUUAAAGUUCCAUGAUAGACAGAGUUUACCAUACUAGUCUUUGUAUUUCUGGGUAUGCUCAUAUUCUAAGUAUAACACUAUAUUAAUUUGUUCUGAAAUACAUUUUUAAAGGAACAUCUAAAGCAUAUUAUUCAUAAAUGAAC
rnacentral:lncRNA from 1 species